rnacentral:rRNA from 1 species
UAGGGAAUCUUCGGCAAUGGACGAAAGUCUGACCGAGCAACGCCGCGUGAGUGAAGAAGGUUUUCGGAUCGUAAAACUCUGUUGUUAGAGAAGAACAAGGACGUUAGUAACUGAACGUCCCCUGACGGUAUCUAACCAGAAAGCCACGGCUAACUACGUGCCAGCAGCCGCGGUAAUACGUAGGUGGCAAGCGUUGUCCGGAUUUAUUGGGCGUAAAGCGAGCGCAGGCGGUUUCUUAAGUCUGAUGUGAAAGCCCCCGGCUCAACCGGGGAGGGUCAUUGGAAACUGGGGGACUUGAGUGCGGAAGAGGAGAGUGGAAUUCCAUGUGUAGCGGUGAAAUGCGUAGAUAUAUGGAGGAACACCAGUGGCGAAGGCGGCUCUCUGGUCUGUAACUGACGCUGAGGCUCGAAAGCGUGGGGAGCAAACAGG